GGUACUAGGACAAGGGGCGAGGCCCAGGGGCUAUCAGACGGCACUAUGACCCCUAGUCUCAACAUCUCCUGGAUUUCCUUCCACAUCUCCUCCUUUACUGCCUCAGGGAUUCUGUAGGGGGUCUGCCUAAGAGGGUUUUGUCCUUGUGUCUCUACGUAAUGAGUCACUAGCGGGGUGUAUCCUGGUUCCUGGGAAAACAUUAAC